UGGCGGCGUGCCUAACACAUGCAAGUCGAACGGUGAUAUAUAGAUGAUUUCGGUCUGAAAUAUAUCAUAGUGGCGGACGGGUGAGUAACGCGUGGAUAACCUGCCCCGUACUGGGGGAUAGCAGCUGGAAACGGCUGGUGAUACCGCAUAAGCGCACGAGGGGGCCUCCCUUUGUGUGAAAAGAUUCAUCGGUACGGGAUGGGUCCGCGUCUGAUUAGCCAGUUGGCGGGGUAACGGCCCACCAAAGCGACGAUCAGUAGCCGGCCUGAGAGGGUGAACGGCCACAUUGGGACUGAGACACGGCCCAGACUCCUACGGGAGGCAGCAGUGGGGAAUAUUGCACAAUGGGCGAAAGCCUGAUGCAGCCGACGCCGCGUGAGUGAAGAAGUAUUUCGGUAUGUAAAGCUCUAUCAGCAGGGAAGAAAGGCCCAUUAAGGGAGUUGACGGUACCUGACUAAGAAGCCCCGGCUAACUACGUGCCAGCCGCCGC
rnacentral:rRNA from 1 species